GCGGGUGUCGUAUAGUGGCUAUUAUACCUCUCUUCCAAAGAGGAGAUGGCGGUUCGAUUCCGCUCACCCGCUCCA
rnacentral:tRNA from 4 species